GGUGGUUCUCAGGUGAUGCACCCUGGAAUCGGGCUCCCUUCUCUGGUUCCGGGUGCGUCACCCGAGAACCGCA
rfam:Myotis brandtii contig154241, whole genome shotgun sequence.